rnacentral:rRNA from 1 species
GAACGCUGGCGGCGUGCUUAACACAUGCAAGUCGAGCGGUAAGGCCCGUUUCGGGGGUACACGAGCGGCGAACGGGUGAGUAACACGUGGGUGACCUGCCCUCAGCUCUGGGAUAAGCCUGGGAAACCGGGUCUAAUACCGGAUAUGACUCCAUGACGCAUGUUGGUGGGGUGGAAAGCCUUGUGCGGCUGAGGAUGGGCCCGCGGCCUAUCAGCUUGUUGGUGGGGUGANGGCCUACCAAGGCGACGACGGGUAGCCGGCCUGAGAGGGCGACCGGCCAC